rnacentral:misc_RNA from 1 species
UCAAAGCAUCAAGCUUGGCUUGUAGUUGGGCCCUUUUAUCACAUCGUGAUAGGUCCAAAAGAUAAUGAACGGUGUUGUAAGGACCCUGUAUGCAACGAGCUUUUAACAGCAUGCAUCGAGUGGUUAUACGGCCCGGUCUACCCCCCUAUUUCUCAA